GAUGAACGCUGGCGGCGUGCUUAACACAUGCAAGUCGAACGGAAAGGCCCAAGCUUGCUUGGGUACUCGAGUGGCGAACGGGUGAGUAACACGUGGGUGAUCUGCCCUGCACUUCGGGAUAAGCCUGGGAAACUGGGUCUAAUACCGGAUAGGACGAUGGUUUGGAUGCCAUUGUGGAAAGUUUUUUCGGUGUGGGAUGAGCUCGCGGCGUAUCAGCUUGUUGGUGGGGUAAUGGCCUACCAAGGCGUCGACGGGUAGCCGGCCUGUGAGGGUGUACGGCCACAUUGGGACUGAGAUACGGCCCAGACUCCUACGGGGGGCAGCAGUGGGGAAUAUUGCACAAUGGGGGCGAGCCUGAUGCAGCGACGCCGCGUGGGGGAUGACGGCGUUCGGGUUGUAAACUCCUUUCGCUAGGGACGAAGCGUGUUUGUGACGGUACCUGGAGAAGAAGCACCGGCUAACUACGUG
rnacentral:rRNA from 1 species